rnacentral:tRNA from 1 species
GCCGACGUAGCUCAAUGGUAGAGCAACGGUUUUGUAAACCGUAGGUUAGGGGUUCAAAUCCCCUCGUUGGCU